AAAAAACUCAUUAUUUAUUUAUUUAUUAUAAUUAAUAAGGCAAGUAGAAAACCGAUUUAACAAACAUAAAUUAGACUAGACACAAUUUACAUCAACACAGGCAGGGAGCCAGGGACUGACCACAGAGCCAAUCUCCAAUAAUGGGGUGCCAUACAUAAUUCUACGUGAAGUAAAUGUACGCGAUCAAACAAAUUCCCUAGGCUAUUUGAUUGUCAACAAUAUGACCUCACUGACAGACUAGGAAGAAACCGAGUUGUGUGGCACUUGACACACAUUGACUUGAAUGCGUUUGGAUUGUAUGGGUCGUAAAUAUAUUCUAAUAAGGGACAGAUCAUUAAUAAUGAGAGGGGGUGGUGGAUGAUAAAUACCAAAUAUUUAGAAAAUUAGCCGCCCCAAUCGCAAGACCUUUAUUUUCAAGAUACUCCUACCUCCCCCCUCCCAGCAUUUAACUCGUUACAUUUUUGGUGUAAAAUAGUUAAUGGGACAAGUAUUGGUGUAAAGGCGGUUUUCCUGUCCUCGCACGAAGCUCCUCGCUGCUCGCUGCGAGUGCUUGCAUCUAAUUAAAAUGAACUGUUUAACUGUUUUAGCAUUUUGAUUGGAGCACAUGCAUCACUCGCAGCGAGCUGCGAGGAGCUUCGUGGGAGGACUGGAAAUCCGCCUUUAGACAAAUAAUUAGAGGACCAGUAUUCAAAAUGGUUGCUAUUUACUCCGACUCCUAUGGUGAACUGCAUAUAUACGUAAUAAACUAUGGAAACUACGAUUAUAGGAGCUAAAAAAGGUGAAAUACUUUGUGGGAUAUACGAUAAAGGCGAGAGAUUGAAAAUGAAUAGGAAAGUAUUAAAAAACUGAGGUCCCCCCUUGACACAUAUUUUUCAAUUUGAGGUCGUCCCCAAUUCAGGCCGCCCCCCUUUUCUCACCCACUGCCCCCACUCCCAUUAUUAAUGACCGGUCCCUAAUUAAGUAUAUAAUGAGUUUUUAAAGUACACUAGUGAUCUUGAAGUGUCACGAAUACCGCUAUAGGGAGAACGUUCCAAUAACUGUUCGUAUUGAUACAUUGAUAUCAUCGCUUAGAAUACGCUUGUAAAGAUAAACCAAGUCUGAAAUAUUCGUGCCAGUAGCAGACUGAGAGAAUACCAAUAGCUGUAGUCGUUCCUUGUAUGUAGUGACUGUUCUAUAAGGGAGGGAAAGGAUGUGGGAAAGGAUGUACGGAAAGGGUGUUGAACUCGUUCUAUUGUCAGUAUGUCGGAUACAAUUUAAGGUGCCCACACCUGGUUGGCAUAAUUCAGAUUUGCUGCGAACCAGUGGGAGGUACAAGACCUUCCGUAUGCACAUGGAUGUUAUGCGUGACCGAUGCUGUUUGAUG